ensembl:lncRNA C22orf46P chromosome 22 open reading frame 46, pseudogene
GUGUCGAAGAAGGAACGUACUUUGGCGUUCUUAUGAGCUGCCUAGUACAAAUUAUUGGCAGAAACAAUGAAUUAAACAUUCAAAAAGUAACCCACCGGCCGGCCGCAGCGGCUUAUGGCUGUAAUCCCGGCACUUUGGGAGGCCGAGGCGGGCGCAUCACCUGAGGACAGGAGUUCGAGACCAGCCUGGCCAACAUGGCGAAACCUCGUCCCUACUAAAAAAUACAAAAAUUAGCCAGGCGUGGUGGCGGGCGCCUGUAACCCCAGCUACUUAGGAGGCUGAAGCAGGAGAAUCGCUUGAACCCCGGAGGUGGAGGCUACAGUCCGGCACUGUUGGCACCAGGUCACCAGGACCCGCUUCAGCACAAGGAAUGUCAUCAAGGUGCCACUGCAGAAGCGGGCAGUGCCCUCCAUGAGGUGCGAAACUGUCUUCAAGCUGACUCCUGAAUUCUUCAGUCCUGGAAAGUCCAGGGGCCUAGAUUCUCAACAAUGCGCACAAAGGCAGAGAUGGGGAUACCGGAGGAGCCUCCAGGAAUCAUGGGCCCAGAACCUGCUCUCUCCACAGCACCCAUGUCCAGGCCCACCUUCGGGUGUCCACACCCACUCUGAGCCCAUCUUUUGUACCACCUCCAUUUCAAACACCUGUUUACUGCCUCAGAACAGUUCCUGGAAAGCAUGGCAGGUGCCUUGGUGUCUCCAUGAUGGUCAGACUCGCCCUGCCUUGGACAUGUGUCAAGAGAUGGAGCAGCUGCUGCUUCACUCACAGGAAAGCUGAGAGGCUGCAGUUCUGCCCCCAGAGAGCUCCUGCCUGAUCCUUCCCACCAAACACUGAGAAUGUGCACUUGGAAGUCUUGGCACUGUCGACCAGAGGCCUGGGAACCAGGGGGUAAAAACCAGAAAGCAGGCAGAGAGGAUAGUAGAGAGACCCAGGCUCCAAGCUCCCUUGGGCAUGCCCUCUGCCUGCUCCUGUCUCCCGUGUGGCCCAGCCCCGGAAGCUGCCAUCAUUCUAGCGGGUCCUCCCACCGCCCUCACUGUCCUGCCCAAGGGGACAGGCCUCAAGAAGAGCAAACGACUGCUCCUGGAGUCCCUCAUGCGGAGGAGGAUUGCACACCUGAAGUGGGGUCUUCCCCGGCGGAUCCUGGAGUCCUAUUUCCUGUUUAACUUCUUAGGAUCUUGCUCAUUGACCCUUGCUGGGGCGAGGCUCUCUGGACUGAACACAGGCCAGGAGCUCCAAGCCCAGCAGGAAAGGUAUUGUGAGGCCCAAGGCUCCCCACCAGGCCUUAAGUCCCCAGAGAGGUUCCAGAGGGUUCAGCGCCCAGACAGAAAAAGCUCGAAACUUCCUAUACAAGCCAGAGCUCUGGAGAGGAACAGACCGCACAUGUCAGAGCCCAUUAAGCAUUUCCAUCCAGCCUGAAAAGGCCAGGAGAGUCAGGCCACCAGGGGGCGCCAGAGAACCACAGGAGAUCCAGGAAGCGCUUGCUAGGACCAAGCUCCCAGCUCCCAGGACCCCCAGGCCGGCAGCGGAGUCCAGGAGCUGGUGUGGCCCACAAAGGGUCGGAGAGCCUCCCAGUGAGAACAGUAGGGGCAGGAAAAUGAUCAGGUCAAGGGUCUCCCAGCUGGCAGAGAGGGCUCCCAGCAGAGUGAGGACUUCAUUCUCUAGGGCAGACCACGCCCACUGGAGGAAGGAAUGUACAUCCUGGGAGGCCUCUAAGCUCCCCAGACUCAAAUGCCAGCAGCUCACAUACUGGAGAAGAGGAAGCCUGGAAUCUACAGGGUGCAGAGGGGCUGGGCAGCAGCCUUCCUGCCAUUCUGCAGAACCUGUCAGCUUCAAAGGGAGGCUCCACUCUGCGGUGGCAAAGCUGGGCCUGACCCUUCUGGCCAAGAUGUCCUGGUCCCCACAGCUCGCCAAGCGCAAGCACUUGGCCCCUAACCUGAGCCUGAGGGAACCUGAUUCUACUCUGCCUCCCAAAGUGGGUGAUCCUCGUGCAGGGGAGGACAGCAUCGGAGAUCACACUGCUUCACAGAGGGAUCUUCAGCUGCAAGGUCACUGCUGUACUGGGGCCACCCUUCCUAAGACAGAGAGUCCCCAGGGCCAGGAGGCACCUGGGAACCCAAAUGGGGCUCCACAGAAUACACGAGCCUCCAAAAAGUUUAGUAUUAUGAAGCAUCUGAAUUUUUUUCUCUUCCAGAAUGGCUUUAAAAAGUAGACUCAGGCCCAGAGUCCUCAGGACAUAUCAGAAAAGCUUUGAGAGUGUCCUGAUCCCUGCAAAGCCUCUAAUAAAUUGGU